GAAUAACCGAAUAGCGUUCCAUAUAAGAACUGCCUCGACACAAUCCGUCGCAGUGAUGAUUUAGACGACGACGAUAGACAUCGAUAUUGGAUCAGAUCUAUCCAGGUUUUCCUAAUUUAAUGACUUCUCUCACUCGACUGCGAUGAACUUAUUCAAACGAUUGCGAAGCACAUCGGAGCCAAAUUAUUUGACGCGUCUUCUCACAAUUUCCGGGUUUGGGGAGUGCGCCUUGGUAACUUAGCAUCUUAUGGAUUACUAACAUGCUAAGUCGUCGAAAGUCGUCGAGCUCCGAGGGGUGUGUCGACUUUCUAGACCGACGAUCAUGAAGAACCGCUGAAGCGAAACCGCAUGUGUUUUAUUACAACUUUAAUUGCAAGUAUCCUCUUACGGCUGUACUUUACGCUAAUUGUAACCAGGGAAAAUGUAAAAUAUUGUUUUGCGAUUAUACAUGUAAUUGCCUUUAAGGACUUUUUGCUGUUCAUUACAUCAUGUAUCGAUGGAAAAUGUUAUUAGGUUCAUUUCAUCGUUCAAAAAAGGUUCAUUUCAUCGUUCAAAAAAAAAAAAAACGAAUUUUAUUUUUUGAUCAUUCGCGUUGUACAAACCCGGAUAUUGCAAAUUAUUAUGGACACGUCAAAUAACAAAGUGAAUUUAUUUUUGUGAUAAAUUUUAGUUUUGCA